CGCAGGUCGCGUCGCGCCAGGCGCACGACUAUGGCGCGCGGCCGCGUUACUACCGGACCGGCAGAGCUUGUGACGUUGAGCUGCUUGCCGCCGACCCGCUCCGCGCUGACAAUGUCGCGCUCCUCCAGCUGCACCCCUAACUUAAGGCCUACGACUUUCGCAAUGUGGAUAGGGUUAUCAGAAGGAGCCUCCGCUUCAUCUGCCGAUGAACGACCCGUGCAAGCCUGUUGCUCCAAUGCGCUAACUCUGGCCUCGAGGCCAUCGAUACGCGCGUUGCAGCUGCUCAUCGAAGACUUCAGCUGCGCCAUCUCCAACUCCAUCUCCUUGCGAAACUCUUGAAUCUCCGCACGCAUCGCCCUCAAUUCAUCCAUGAGCAAACAUAAGUCAGAGCCUGCGAUGGGAGAAACCCGCGCCGCGAUGACAGCCGAAGAGGCGUUCCUAUGUAGCGGCGUAGAAGCAGACGACGGGCUAGUGGUUUGUGUCUCGCAGACCACGGGUGCUGGGCUAGGGUGACUGCCAUCAGACUCAUUCGACGUCGAAGAGGCGUUCUUGUAUAGCGACGUAGAAGCAGACGACGGGCUAGACGGUUGUUGCUCGCAUACCAUGGGUGCUGGGUUAGAGCAGCUGGCAUCCAACUCUUUAAUCGUAUGGGCCACCGAGCAAGUUUGGCUUGACGAGCAAGUUGUACUUGCAGUGCCUCCUGCCAAGCCAGCCGGACCUCUCACUGGAGUCUCAGCCCUGUUAUCCCUGACCAGGUUCUUUUUACAUUCAGGGCAGCGCCAGGAUGUUGGGAUAGCUACGUCCGCUUUAAUACCAACGCAUCCUCGGUGGUAUAGUCGUCGACACUUGAUAUUCCCACACUUGACGCCCUCUAUGGCUGAUGCAAAGCGACUGCAACCUGCGCACUGGAUACCCGGCAUGGUGCACCGAUGCAGUAGCAAAGUUCAGUGCAAGAUCGCUAGAUGGCGCCACUGGCCCGAUAUCGAUCGUUGAAGAUACCGAGAAUAACCGCCUCCUGUCAAUGUUCGAGUUGUCAGAUUGACAAGUUUGGAGUGACGAGAAUAUCCCCGAUGUCAAGAGCACUUUUUUUAAAGAGAGGGUAGAAAUUAAAUACGCCUAGUCACUGUC